AUAUUUACAGCACCCAUCUUUCAAUUUGUGUGAAUUAGGAGAAGGGCGACACGGAUUCGAUUCGUUUGGAGGUAUUUUCGUGACAAUUUGAAUCCCUUGGGGUUUCUUGCUUCAAGUUUGUGAAGAUAACAGUUCAGUUGGCUUUUCCCUGCUUUGUGGAUGAAGAGGAUUACGAAAGAUAUGAGAUGGUCUUAAAAAUAGAGUUCCUUGCAAAAUAUGUGUGCAAAUAAGUGCCCAUGCCUUCUCUAGUUGACUCGAUUCUUUUCAAGGAUCACACGAACACGGGACACAACUUCAUGCAGUGAGCAGGAUCCGCUUUCGAACUACUUGUUUGAGCCUGGAUCAUUCCAGCACGCUGGACUAACCUGACAAAAGUUUCUAGUCGUUGCAUAUGAUCCACAAGGAGAUUGAGUAAAAGACUCAAGAAGUUGUGAUGAAACGUAUAUGAACACACAAGUUUUCAACCAGCUGCUACAAUCACAAGAUGUGUGGAUACUGUUUCUGAUAUCAGUUUUUAUCGGUGUGUGCAUGAUUGAAGAGUUGUUGUAUGAACACACCCAUCCCCUGUGCCUCGUUUGCAUCGUGGACGGCCUUCUGUUCCAGAAGUUUUACGACCCACUGUUUUUCCUCGUGGAGGAGUAUCUAUACAUUCCUCUUUGCUUAAUUGGGGAGGAGAUCUACGACUUCACGAGCGAUUUUAUGGUGUACAUACUUCGCAUUUUGCGACUAAACGACCAUUUGCUUUACCAACAUCGUGUUUUCUAGAACCGCGAACAUGGCUCUUGAUCUGUUUGCACCUCUGAAAAAGAGCUUCAAUAUGGAGGAGGCAGGGGAGGGUGAAGCUUUAUGGAUUUCACCGACUGACCUUGCAGUGUUCAAGCGACAUCACAACGAUAACUAUGUAAAUGUGCCGUUUUGGUGUUGUUGCAGAUCCAAGGAUGGAGUAGAAACACCAAAGUAGAGCAUACAGGUGCUCGCACAAUGAUUGAGGCCCCAUCGAAGAUUUUUUCGCAAAAAGGUAACGGACUGACUACUGCUCUUGUAUGUCUCUUGUAGGUGCAAUUAAAACGCAGCCUACAGAUAGGAGCAGCCAAUCCUCCACAGUAACACUAACUUCACCACUACAUGCUGCUUCAAUAUAGCAGACAUCCUAUUUGGAUGGUAAUGCGUCUCUCCAAUUCUGGCAUUGAGGUAAGGCCGAUUUACAAUCGCUUGAGAUUGCGCAGUUUUUGACCGAGCUCGGCCACUUUUUUUAGAGGCUGAACUGAAUGAAGGAUAUUCUAAACCAAGAUGAAGGUUUCCACCACAUUUAAGAGAAGUAAGAUAUUGCACCUGAAUCUGAAGACAAUGGUGCAAUUCUGUUGACUCUUCUUAAACCACCAAUUUACUUCCUUUUCUGCAGCUUAAAUUUUAUGUCUCCCGGCCCACCUCCAUUUCAUUAGCUCAUAAUUUACUCCGUUAAUGCAUCGAUAAAUCUGAGCCUGGGGCUUCUGCAAUUUAUAAUCUCAAUGUAGCAUUUGAUGGCCCAAAUUCGUCAACCACAAUGCAACGCAAUCGUGGGCUCAGUGUAUUACUAUGAGCUAAACCCCCUUGAUCGUAUAGUGCUUCAGCCCACACAUUGCCAGUGAUUCAAUGGCAAUAUUCACCUAGUGAUGCACUGAUACCACUUCUUUGCAUGAACAAGUAAGAAGCUUUUCCGCAACUCCUUGUUUUGUACACAGACCAGAAAGACGUGCACACAACAGAGAGACAAUGUUGCAGCAAAGAAUGCUGUCAGAAUUUCCAGAUUAGAGUCCCAGUACAAUCCACUUAUGAACACGCACAUGUUUUCGUCGGAUUGUGACACUUAAUAGAACAUCAGUUCUCAUA